rnacentral:rRNA from 1 species
AGGACGAACGCUGGCGGCGUGCUUAACACAUGCAAGUGGAGCGACGAACCAGGGCUUGCCCUGGGGCAGAGCCGCGAACGGGUGAGUAACACGUGGGUUACCUGCCUCGAUGACCGGGACAACCCGAGGAAACUCGGGCUAAUACCGGAUGUGCCCGCAAGGGGAAAGGAAGCUUCGGCCUCCGCAUCGAGAUGGGCCCGCGGCCCAUUAGCUUGUUGGUGAGGUAACGGCUCACCAAGGCUUCGAUGGGUAGCUGGUCUGAGAGGACGAUCAGCCACACUGGGACUGAGACACGGCCCAGACUCCUACGGGAGGCAGCAGUGGGGAAUCUUGCGCAAUGCGCGAAAGCGUGACGCAGCAACGCCGCGUGGGGGAAGAAGGCUUUCGGGUUGUAAACCCCUUUCAGUUGGGACGAAGCUUCGCCGGUGAAUAGCCGGCUGGAGUGACGGUACCUUCACAAGAAGCACCGGCUAACUACGUGCCAGCAGCCGCGGU